UCAAGCAAAAAAGAGCGCAGGGUGGAUGCCUUGGCACUAAGAGCCGAUGAAAGACGUGAUAAGCUGCGAAAAGCUUCGGGGAGGAGCACAUAUCCAAUGAUCCGGAGAUAUCUGAAUGGGGAAACCCGGCAGAGGAAACCUCUGUCAGCGUGCAGUGAAUACAUAGCUGUACGUGGGGAACCCGGGGAACUGAAACAUCUAAGUACCCGGAGGAAGAGAAAGAAAAUUUAUCGAUUUCCAAAGUAGCGGCGAGCGAAAUGGAAAGAGCCCAAACCGUGAUGCGUGCAUCGCGGGGUUCGGACUGCGUUGUGGCAGACGUAAGAUAGGAGAACGGACUGGGAAGUCCGGCCGGAGAGAGUGAAAGCCUCGUAUCCGAAAUCCCAAGUCGCCUGGCAGGAUCCAGAGUAGGACGAGACACGAGAAACCUUGUCUGAACGAGCGGGGACCACCCCGUAAGGCUAAAUACUUCUUAGUGACCGAUAGCGCAUAGUACUGUGAAGGAAAGGUGAAAAGUACCCCGGGAGGGGAGUGAAAGAGAACCUGAAACCCUGUGUCUACAAGCUGUGGGACCUCUUUAUAUGAGGGACUGCGUACUUUUUGUAGAACGGUCCGGCGAGUUGUGCGUACUGGCGAGGUUAAGGACUUAAGGUCUGGAGCCGAAGUGAAAGCAAGCGUUAAUAGCGCGUCAAGUCAGUGAGUGCAGACCCGAAACCGGGUGACCUAUCCAUGUCCAGGUUGAAGCUUCCGUAAGAGGAAGUGGAGGACCGAACCCACAUCCGUUGAAAAGGGUGGGGAUGAGGUGUGGAUAGCGGAGAAAUUCCAAUCGAACCCGGAGAUAGCUGGUUCUCCUCGAAAUAGCUUUAGGGCUAGCCUCAAUUUAGUCUUGCGGAGGUAGAGCACUGAAUAUCCUAGGGGGCGUCAAAGCUUACCGAAGAUUAUCAAACUCCGAAUGCCGUAAAGAUGAUGAUUGGGAGUCAGACUGCACGAGAUAAGUUGGGUAGUCAAAAGGGAAACAGCCCAGACCUCCAGCUAAGGUCCCAAAGUGAGUGUUAAGUGGAAAAGGAUGUGGGAUUUCGAAGACAACUAGGAUGUUGGCUCAGAAGCAGCCAUACAUUCAAAGAGUGCGUAAUAGCUCACUAGUCGAGAGGUCCUGCGCCGAAAAUGUCCGGGGCUAAAACACGACACCGAAGCUUAGGACUCCAUUUAGGAGUGGUAGAGGAGCAUUGUUAGCGCAGCGAAGCUGUACCGAUAAGGAGCAGUGGAGUGCUAAGAAGAGAGAAUGCCGGAAUGAGUAGCGAGAGGAAGGUGAGAAUCCUUCCGGCCGAAUAUCCAAGGUUUCCAGAGUAAAGCUGAUCUGCUCUGGGUAAGUCGGGGCCUAAGGCGAGGUCGAAAGACGUAGUCGAUGGAUAACAGGUGGAGAUUCCUGUACUAUGUGUACCCAGAACUGUGGGGACGCAUGUGGAGAGCACGAGCCGGGAAAGAGAAGACCGGUACAAGCGGGGUAGGAGUAAGGACAGCAAAUCUUCCUUACAAUCCGAAGACGUAAUGUGGACCGAACCAAAGUAGGGAAGCGUGUGAGCCAUGUGCCAAGAAAAGCCGCUAUUGUGAUACACAUACCCGUACCGUAAACCGACACAGGUGGAUGAGGAGAGAAUCCUAAGGCCGACGGAAGAAGCAUUGUUAAGGAACUCGGCAAAAUGACCCCGUAACUUCGGGAGAAGGGGUGCCCUGUGAAAGCAGGGCCGCAGAGAAUAGGCUCAAGCAACUGUUUAGCAAAAACACAGGUCUAUGCGAAACCGAAAGGUGAGGUAUAUGGGCUGACGCCUGCCCGGUGCUGGAAGGUUAAGAGGAGAAGUCAGGCAACGAAGCUUCGAAUUUAAGCCCCAGUAAACGGCGGCCGUAACUAUAACGGUCCUAAGGUAGCGAAAUUCCUUGUCGGGUAAGUUCCG
rnacentral:rRNA from 1 species